rnacentral:rRNA from 1 species
CCUGAUCCAGCCAUGCCGCGUGUGUGAAGAAGGCCUUUUGGUUGUAAAGCACUUUAAGCGAGGAGGAGGCUACUUGGAUUAAUACUCUAGGGAUAGUGGACGUUACUCGCAGAAUAAGCACCGGCUAACUCUGUGCCAGCAGCCGCGGUAAUACAGAGGGUGCGAGCGUUAAUCGGAUUUACUGGGCGUAAAGCGUGCGUAGGCGGCUUUUUAAGUCGGAUGUGAAAUCCCUGAGCUUAACUUAGGAAUUGCAUUCGAUACUGGGAAGCUAGAGUAUGGGAGAGGAUGGUAGAAUUCCAGGUGUAGCGGUGAAAUGCGUAGAGAUCUGGAGGAAUACCGAUGGCGAAGGCAGCCAUCUGGCCUAAUACUGACGCUGAGGUACGAAAGCAUGGGGAGCAAACAGGAUUAGAUACCCUGGUAGUCCAUGCCGUAAACGAUGUCUACUAGCCGUUGGGGCCUUUGAGGCUUUAGUGGCGCAGCUAACGCGAUAAGUAGACCGCCUGGGGA